UUGAAUUUAAAAAUAGUGAGAAAGCAUGGAAUUCAAUUCUUUCUCAUGUCUUGCAUAUUUGCACUCUGUAUCUUUUCACAUAAAGAAUUUUUGGAUAACGGAAUGUCAGCACUCCAUAAGGAAGAUGAAGCUAGCAAUUGAAAGAGAGCUUGGCACCAUUCAAAUUUCACGUAUCAUCUAACGGCGAAGGAACAAAAGCACAAGCGAUGAAAAAUAAAUUUCUGCGCAGAUGACUGAAUUACGAUGGAGCGCCACCAAGUCCUAAGCGCCUCAGCCGGCACAAACGCUGCCAAGUGCACGCGUUAGGAAUAUUUGCUCUAGCGAAUCGUGGUUGCCGCCAAAGAAUCUCGUUCUCGCCAUAGUCGCGGAAGAGUGAACUCUCCAACUUCUCGGCCAAGCUCACGUAUUGUGCAUGCACGUAUCCUUUGACAUAAUAUUGCUCCUCGUGCAAGAAGAGCUAGCUUUAAGGAGGGAAGCGGAGCCAAAAGAGACGCAACGCUACACUGCAGAUUUUUUACAACUCAACAUUAAAUGAAAAACU